rnacentral:lncRNA from 1 species
UUACCGGUAGCAGAGAAAUACUCCAUAGAUGCAAGCCUUCAUCUUCACUCUCUCCCUCUCUCUCGCUCUCUCAGAAAUUAUGUGAUCUAACAGAUGCAGAGAAAUACUCCAUAGAUGUAAGCCUUCAUCUUCUCUCUCCCUCUCUCAGAAAUUAUGGGAUCUAACCGAUGUUAGAUCUGAUUGAAAUUUCAGUCGGCUUUUCCCUUCUUUGUGGUCAUGGAAAUUAAUAGUUCCUGUUAGAUGAUUAAAUUUCAGUCAGAUCUUAUACUCAUGAACCGACUAAGACAGAAAUUUCAAUCAGAUCUUAUACUCAUGAACUGUUAGCUGAGUCAUUCAUGGAAAUUUCAGAAUCUGAGUGAUGAUUUUUUAAUUCAAAAUUUUUUAAUUUCCGGAGAUGGAUUCUCAGUCCGAUCGCCGGUGCCGGAG